AGUUGCCUUUCGAGUUGCAUUGAUUGAACAUCUUUUUGUGAAUGUCAAAGUUUAACCAUCAUACGUUCAAUAAUCACAAAGUUGAAUCAAUUGUCUAAUAUAAUCCUGCUUUGAGGUUUUUGUUUCCUUAAUGGCCAAGGAACGAGUAAUUUACGAGUGGUUGCCAUUGUUUUGGCACCAAACAGAUGAGCCUUUCAAGGAAGAUAUCUAUCCGCUUUUGGGGUGAGGAGGAGGAAGAACAACAACAACAGGAGAAGGAAGAAUCACAGAAAUCAUGGAUUGCUCCACAACUACAAAUUCCAGACCCAAACUGAAACGAAAGGUCAUUCUUUUCAGUUUAUUUAUGUACUAUACUCCAUCUAUUUUUUCUAUCUGUCUCGGAUCAAAUAAAAAAAUUGGCAGACGC